UUACUGUACCUGGCAGAGGAGAUACUGCACCAUGAUCACUAAGGUUGGGUCUCCCAGGGUGAGGCUCACCCAUUGCACUCUGGGUGUGCUGACUCUGGCGAUUUCCCUAAAGGUGGGAGACUCACCUGCAUAGCGUGUGGUAGUGGGGGACUGCAUUUGUGAUCUUCCUUG